rnacentral:lncRNA from 1 species
GAGCAGGGUGGGUGUGAGGCCUGGUAUUGUGGGGGUCAUUUUGCUACCACGAGAGAAGCCAGCCUGAGGAUAUGGCUGAAGCUGGGAGGAGGGAAGACCAGAGGAUUGCUGGAGACCCCAUUUUCCCACCUGCUCCUUCCUUCUGUGCUUGCACGUGUCACAGGUAUUGACACCCGGAGCCAUCUUACAGAAAGCAGGGAAAGGAAAAGUGUGUCACAGACAUUGCCUCAGUGCCCUGACCCAACAAACACGUGCCAAAGCUUCUGUUCCGUGAUAAAAACAAGUCCUUCUUAUUUCAGACACGUUGGCCAGGUUCUCUGUUACCUGCAGCUGAAAGCACUCCUGCCUGAUGCCCGGCGGCUGCUCGGUCCCUGCGACUCCUCGAUUUCUGCAAAGCCAGGCCAGACACCAAAAGGCUCCACUCCAUCUCCAUGCCAGAGGUCAAUGCCUGAUGUGUCCCCGCAAAGUGAACGGGCAUGGAGUAUGAAACUGGGGGAUGCAGAAAGAGCAUCAAAGCAGGAGCCAGUGCUGCUCGAUGUUGCUGGCUGUGUGACCUUGGACAUGCCGUCCCCUCUCUGGGCUUCAGUUUUCUUCCCUGUGCAGGGGCUCCUUGCUAAGCCCCCUCCCCACUCUGCUCUUCUGAGUCUAGCGAGGGUCUUUCUUCUCAAGUUCGGCCUCCAUCUGCAGCUACAAACGUGUCGGGGGAGUGUGGCUGGGCUGGAGAUGUUUGGGGAAACAGGCAGACCUGAGUUUUGAUCCCAAGUCUAGUGCCUGAACGCGAAGUUGAUGUUGGACAAGUCCUUAACCAAGCUGAUCUUCAUUUCGUCAAUUAUGAAAGGGAAUAAUGAUACUACUAUAUUUUAAUAAUUAGAGAUCAUGCAUAUGAGAUAGAAGCACAUAGCAGAGGCUCCAUGGAUGGUAAAUUUGCUUCUAUGUUCCUCAUUUUACUCUUGCUGUCUUUCUUGUUGCAUGACUGUAAUGGAAGUCAGAUGGGCAGUUGCCCUCUGGAUGGGGGGAUGGAACCCACAAGCUCAGGAGAAUAAAGUAACUAGAAUGGAAACA